CAGGGCGAUGUAAUGCAAAUUGAUAGUGCGGUUGGAUUUGAUAACAUGGGUGGUCUUUUGAACACAUUGCAGCUUUAAAAGAGAUGGUGACUUUUCCCCUCCUUUAUCCAAAAGUCUUUGGAAGAUUCAAUAUUCAGUCCCCAAUAGGCUGUUUAUUAUAGAAUAAGCAGGCCCCCCAAGAAUGGGAAAGAUGCUGGUUGCUCAGGCUCUUGCUAAUGAAUGUAGCCGAGGUGACAGAAAAAUAUCAUUUUUUAUGAGAAAAGCUUUGGACUGGCUGAGACAAUGGGUGGGGGAAUCAGAACGUCAGCUUCACUCAUUAUUUGAACAGGUAAGGUUGAAAUGUGCAAUGUUUACUGUCAGAGUUGAAAUGGUCAUUUUUAUUGGUCAACGUUUUUAAGUUGAACUUGCUCUUGUUUUUGUAUGUUGAUA